rnacentral:rRNA from 1 species
AGGUAGUAAUAAUAAUAAAACCUUUAUUAUGGCGGCAUAACUUAUUUUUAGAGGAACUUGUUUACUAAUCGAUAAUCCACGAUAAAUUUUACUUAAAUAUAUAACUUAUAUAUCGUCAUCAAGAGAAUCUAUAUCUCAAAUAUUCGUAAUAAUAAUUAAAAAGUUAGGUCAAGGUGUAGUCUUAACUUAAGAUCAAAUGAGUUACUUUAAUAAAAAUUUAAGACUAAGGCUUUUAACAAAUCCUUUAAAAAAGGAUUUAAUAUUAAUAUUAUAAUAUUAAUUACAUUUGAAUAAAAUAAUAAAUGUGU